GGGGCGUGGCAACGCUAAGUAGGAAAUAUCGAUGACACGUCAGCCGGACGGGAAAAUCUUAAACCGAGUGGAGAAGCCUCUCCAAAUCUCUUUCAGUCUUUCUCUCUCUCUCUUCCUCUCCCAAAGGUGAAAGGCCACCACACCACAUUCUCAAAUCUCUUCUCUGUAUUUUUUUUUUUUGCUUCAGAAUCUCUUUUUUUUUUUUUUUUCCGAUCUCUCAAAAAAAUAUCCUCAAAGCUAGAAAAAAAGCAAAGUGAGUUUGAGAUAAAUCAACAACAAUCUCAUAGGAAGAUUCCUUGCAGGAAGGAGCGUCUACACGGAUUUUAGCGUUGUAAAACUCAGCUUCUUUCGAUUUACCUACUGUACAGUGUGUUGGGUAGUAUAUAU